UUAGAAUGGAGAAGAGAGAGAAUUCAGUCUAUUUACCAGCUUUAAAGGUAUUGCCCAUGGAAUUAUUAUUCCAUGGGCAAUGAUGAUAGCUUUCUAAAUUCCAAAAUGGUCAAUCUCAUAAAUAAUAAUAAUAAUUAAUAGUAUGGACCACUUCCUAUGUUCUGAGUAUUUUCUAAGCACAGGAAGAAACUAGUUUUAACAACUUUAUGAGGUGAGUUAGUAUCCCUGUUUUAAUGUCAAGCAAUGUAAAGAAAGAUAAGAUUAAUAAUCAGUUUUAUGACAAUAAGAAUAAUGUAACCAUUGUUUUUUUUUUUUUUUCCGUCUUCUUUAUCUCCCCCAAGUUCAGUUACUUAAGCAUGAUCCAAGACUUGUUCAACUCAUUAUCUACAAUGUCUGGUACAUGGAAAAGAGCCAUCCGACGAGCCCCCUCAAAACUGUGACAUCUCUUGUUGACCACUCAGGGCAUAUUGCGGAAGAGGAGGGCGCGUGAGAUUGUAAGAGCUGGUCACAAGGGGUGCAGUGUUGGAGGAGGUCAUCAAGAGGACGGACCACCCACUGACCCUUGAGUUGGACUCUUCUGUCCUUGGAAUGUACACAUUACCUACUGUUCCCAUGGUGAGAGCUGUUCCUUCACUUUAAAAUGCCAUGCAAUACCUUGAAAAUACUUUAUCUUUAAAAUACUAUAGGAUAUCACUUAUAUGUGGAAGCUGAAUAAUAACACAAAUGAAUCUAUGUACAUGAUAGACUCACAGACAUAGAAAACAAACUGUGGUUACUAAAGGGGAAAGGGAGGAAGGGAGGGACAAAUUGGGAGAUUAACAGAUACAAAUCGCUAUACAUAAAACAGAUAAGCAACAAGGAUUUACUAGCUAGCACAGGGAAUUAUAUUCACUGUCUUGUAUGAACCUAUAACGGAAAAUUAUCUGAAAAAAAUAGCUGAACAACUUUGCCGUACACCAGAAACUAACAGUUUGUAAAUCAACUAUAUUUCAAUUAAAAAAUAGAUUCUGGUGGGAGGGUGGAGAGAUCUGUCUUGUGAUCACUCCAGACAUAGGUGUAAAUUCCCAUGCUUAUUAAACCCACCACUUUGGAGUGACUGGCGUCUUUCUUCAGUCUCCCCCCCGCCCUUCGGGGACAGGGGGCAGUUUUCAAUAUAUAACAGCCUUUGCCUCAACCACUUUAGAAGGACUAGAUGUUUGCUACCCUACUCUCCUGUCUCCUACUCACUCAUAAUUUGGGAUGGAGGACAGCCCUGCCAAACCUGGCAUAUUGCUCCUCACCCCACCUUCUAGGAUCUGUUAGUGAUUCUGUUUCCUUCAUAUGGCUAUAUUGAAACUAAUGCCUUUGAUCCCAAAAAUCCCAUGGGCUUCACUUCCCUUCCCCGCAGUGGGAGCUUGGAUGCUGAGGAGGCUACCUGCUGACCCUGUAUGGCUGGUUUGUGCCCCUCAUUCAGCAGGUCCUCACAUGCCUCUUCUCGAUUCUACCAGCUCCAGCUUCCCAACACACUUAGAAAUACACGAUUAAAUUUCCUCUGUGUGUUUUCAUGGUUAGCUAGCUCAUUACCUUUUAUCACUGAGUAAUAGCCCAUUGUAUGGAUAUACCACCUUUGUUUACUUAUUUGCCAUUUGAAAGAUAUCUUUAAGGAAGUUCCAAGUGGCUCAGUGGUAAGAGCCCAACUAGUAUCCAUGAGGAUGUGGGUUCGAUCCCUGGCUUUGCUCAGUGGGUUAAGGAACUGGCAUGGCUGUAAGCUGUGAUAUAAGUAGCAGAGGUGGCUCGGAUCCUGCAUUGCUUUGGCUACUGCAUACGGCGCAGAUCCAGCUCCGAUUUGACCCCUAGCCUGGGAUCUUCCAUAUGCUGCAGGUGUGGCCCUAGAAAGCAACCAACCAACCAACCAACCAAACAAACAAACAAAAAAAAAAAAAAAAGGAAGGAAGGAUUUGUGACUUCACAGAUUUCAAUAUCACAUUUAGGGUUACCAGGGGUCAACUGUGUGGGAGGGUAGAAGGGAUAAACUAGGAGGGUAGGAUUGUCACAUAUACACUACUAUACCUGGAAUAGAUAAUUAACGAGUUACUGUAUGGCACAGGGAGGUCUGCUCAAUGGUCUGUAAUAACAUAUGGGAAAAAAGAGUGGAUAUAUGUAUAUGCAUAGCUGAUUCACUUUGCUGCAAUCCUAAAGCUAAUACAACAUUACAAAUCAACUAUACUUCAAUAAAAUUUUUUUAAAAAGAUACCUUGUUGCUUCC
rnacentral:lncRNA from 1 species